rnacentral:rRNA from 1 species
CGUGUAGGCGGCCAUUUAAGUCUGGAGUGAAAGUCCUGUUUUUAAGGUGGGAAUUGCUUUGGAUACUGGAUGGCUUGAGUGCAGGAGAGGUUAUCGGAAUUCCCGGUGUAGCGGUGAAAUGCGUAGAGAUCGGGAGGAACACCAGUGGCGAAGGCGGGUAACUGGACUGCAACUGACGCUGAGGCGCGAAAGUGUGGGGAGCAAACAG